GUAGUCCACGCUGUAAACGAUGAGUGCUGGGUGUUGUGGGUUACGACCUGCAGCGCCGAAGUCAACACGUUAAGCACUCCGCCUGGGGAGUACGGCCGCAAGGUUAAAACUCAAAUGAAUUGACGGGGGCCCGCACAAGCGGUGGAGCAUGUGGUUUAAUUCGAUGCAACGCGAAGAACCUUACCACCCCUUGACAUCCUGCGAACUUUCUAGAGAUAGAUUGGUGCCUUCGGGAGCGCAGAGACAGGUGCUGCAUGGCUGUCGUCAGCUCGUGUUGUGAAAUGUUGGGUUAAGUCCCGUAACGAGCGCAACCCCUAUCCCUAGUUACCAUCGGGUCAAGCCGGGGACUCUAGGGAGACUGCCCCGGAAAACGGGGAGGAAGGUGGGGAUGACGUCAAGUCCUCAUGGCCUCUAUGUCCCGGGCCACACACGUGCUACAAUGGGCGGUACAAAGGGUUGCAAUACAGCAAGGUGGAGCUAAUCCCAAAAAACCGCCCCCAGUUCGGAUUGGAGUCUGCAACUCGACUCCAUGAAGGUGGAAUCGCUAGUAAUCGCGGAUCAGCACGCCGCGGUGAAUA
rnacentral:rRNA from 1 species